AGUUAAACAGUACGUGAAAUUGUUGAAAGGGAAACGAUUGAAGCCAGUCGUACCUUCGGGUAAUCAGCCUUUCGGGUGCGAUUCUGUGGGGUUUGAGGAGCUUAACACCUUCAUGCUUUGCAUAUUCGUGCUCUUGGGUGUACUUGCCCGUGUGGUUGGUUAACAUCAAUUUCGGGCACCAUAAAAUGGCUGGAGGAAUGUAGCUUCGAUCUUGUAUUGAAGUGUUAUAGCCUUCGGUAGAUGUGGUGAUCGAGAUUGAGGAUUGCAACGGAUACCUUUCGGGGCUACCUGUCUGAUCUCUGAUCGUUGUUUUGGUGCUGAAAGCGUGCUUAUAGUUAUCAAAGUCGAUGGUCAAUAGGUUAGAAUGGGUUAAAUUCGUUAAGGAUGUUGACGUAAUGGCUUUAAA
rnacentral:misc_RNA from 1 species